UACGGAGGGUGCAAGCGUUAUCCGGAUUUACUGGGUUUAAAGGGUGCGUAGGCGGGCUUUUAGGUCAGUGGUGAAAUCUCCGGGCUCAACCCGGAAAUUGCCAUUGAUACUAUUAGUCUUGAAUUAAGUUGAGGUGGGCGGAAUGUGUCAUGUAGCGGUGAAAUGCUUAGAUAUGACACAGAACACCGAUUGCGAAGGCAGCUCGCUAAACUUAUAUUGACGCUGAGGCACGAAAGCGUGGGGAUCAAACAGG
rnacentral:rRNA from 1 species